rnacentral:rRNA from 1 species
GACGUAGGGCGCGAGCGUUGUCCGGAUUUAUUGGGCGUAAAGAGCUCGUAGGCGGUUUGUCGCGUCUGCUGUGAAAACCCGAGGCUCAACCUCGGGCCUGCAGUGGGUACAGGCAGACUAGAGUGCGGUAGGGGAGAUUGGAAUUCCUGGUGUAGCGGUGGAAUGCGCAGAUAUCAGGAGGAACACCAAUGGCGAAGGCAGAUCUCUGGGCCGUAACUGACGCUGAGGAGCGAAAGCAUGGGGAGCGAACAGG